rnacentral:rRNA from 1 species
GAUGAACGCUGGCGGCGUGCCUAAUACAUGCAAGUCGAGCGAAUGGAUUAAGAGCUUGCUCUUAUGAAGUUAGCGGCGGACGGGUGAGUAACACGUGGGUAACCUGCCCAUAAGACUGGGAUAACUCCGGGAAACCGGGGCUAAUACCGGAUAACAUUUUGAACCGCAUGGUUCGAAAUUGAAAGGCGGCUUCGGCUGUCACUUAUGGAUGGACCCGCGUCGCAUUAGCUAGUUGGUGAGGUAACGGCUCACCAAGGCAACGAUGCGUAGCCGACCGGAGAGGGAGAUCGGCCACACUGGGACUGAGACACGGCCCAGACUCCUACGGGAGGCAGCAGUAGGGAAUCUUCCGCAAUGGACGAAAGUCUGACGGAGCAACGCCGCGUGAGUGAUGAAGGCUUUCGGGUCGUAAAACUCUGUUGUUAGGGAAGAACAAGUGCUAGUUGAAUGAGCUGGCACCUUGACGGUACCUAACCAGAAAGCCACGGCUAACUACGUGCCAGCAGCCGCCGUAA